ACUUGCACAUUCAUCUUCUGCACAUCUACAGUCGUGGCCAAAAGUUUUGAGAAUGACACAAAUAUAAAUUUUCACAAAGUCUGCUGCUUCAGUGUCUUUAGAUGUUUUUGUCAGAUGAGUCACUGGCUUACUGGGGCUCUCUCAUGCCGUCCCUGGGGGGGGGGUGCGUCACCUGGGUGGGUUGAUUCACUGUUGUGGUCAGCCUGUCUGGGUUGGCGCCCCCCCCUUGGGUUGUGCCGUGGCGGAGAUCUUUGUGGGCUAUACUCGGCCUUGUCUCAGGAUGGACCUGAGCCCUAGGACCAUGCCCCAGGACUACCUGACAUGAUGACUCCUUGCUGUCCCCAGUCCACCUGGCCAUGCUGCUGCUCCAGUUUCAACUGGCCUGGGCCCUAGGACCAUGUCCCAGGACUACCUGACAUGAUGACUCCUUGCUGUCCCCAGUCCACCUGGCCAUGCUGCUGCUCCAGUUUCAACUGUUCUGCCUUACUAUUAUUCAACCAUGCUGGUCAUUUAUGAACAUUUGAACAUCUUUGCCACGUUCUGUUAUAAUCUCCACCCGGCACAGCCAGAAGAGGACUGGCCACCCCACAUAUGCUCUCUCUAAUUCUCUCUUUCUUUCUCUCUCUCGGAGGACCUGAGCCCUAGGACCGUGCCCCAGGACUACCUGACAUGAUGACUCCUUGCUGUCCCCAGUCCACCUGACUGUGCUGCUGCUCCAGUUUCAACUGUUCUGCCUUAUUAUUAUUCGACCAUGCUGGUCAUUUAUGAACAUUUGAACAUCUUGGUCAUGUUCUGUUAUAAUCUCUACCCGGCACAGCCAGAAGAGGACUGGCCACCCCACAUAGCCUGGUUCCUCUCUAGGUUUCUUCCUAGGUUUUGGCCUUUCUAGGGAGUUUUUCCUAGCCACCGUGCUUUUACACCUGCAUUGUUUGCUGUUUGGGGGUUUUAGGCUGGGUUUCUGUACAGCACUUUGAGAUAUCAGCUGAUGUACGAAGGGCUAUAUAAAUAAAUUUGAUUUGAUUUGAU